ACUGUUCAGUAACACGUGGAUAACCUGCCCUUAGGUUCGGCAUAACUCCGGGAAACUGGAGAUAAUUCCGAAUAGGUCAAAUAUGCUGGAAUGCUUUUUGAUCAAAAGACUUCGGUUGCCUAAGGAUGGAUCUGCGGUCUAUCAGGUUGUAGUGGGUGUAACGUACCUACUAGCCUACGACGGAUAUGGGUUGUGAGAGCAAGAGCCCAGAGAUGGAUUCUGAGACAUGAAUCCAGGCCCUACGGGGCGCAGCAGGCGCGAAAACUUUACAAUGCGGGAAACCGCGAUAAGGGGACACCGAGUGCCAGCAUUUAUGUUGGCUGUCCACAUGUGUAAACGGCAUGUGUUAGCAAGGGCCGGGCAAGACCGGUGCCAGCCGCCGCGGUAACACCGGCGGCCCGAGUGGUAAUCACUUUUAUUGGGUCUAAAGGGUCCGUAGCCGGUUUGAUCAGUUCUUCGGGAAAUCUGACAGCUCAACUGUUAGGCUUCCGGGGAAUACUGUCAGACUUGGGACUGGGAGAGGUAAGAGGUACUACAGGGGUAGGAGUGAAAUCUUGUAAUCCCUGUGGGACCACCAGUGGCGAAGGCGUCUUACCAGAACAGGUCCGACGGUGAGGGACGAAAGCUGGGGGCACGAACCGGAUUAGAUACCCGGGUAGUCCCAGCCGUAAACGAUGUUCGCUAGGUGUCAGGGGCGGUGCGACCGCUUCUGGUGCCGUAGGGAAGCCGUGAAGCGAACCACCUGGGAAGUACGGCCGCAAGGCUGAAACUUAAAGGAAUUGGCGGGGGAGCAC
rnacentral:rRNA from 1 species